UUAAUACUCCCUCCGUUCCAAAUUACUCGUCGCAGAAAUGGAUGUAUCUAAAACUAAAAUACAUCUAGAUACAUCCAUUUCUGCGACAAGUAAUUCGGAACGGAGGGAGUACUAU
rnacentral:pre_miRNA from 1 species